AUUAUUAUUAAACUGAUUUAUAUCUUAAGUUUUUGUUAAAUGUUUUUUCUUUUUCUUCUUUUAUUUUUUUGUAUAAAUCUUCGUUUGGCAUUUGUAUUAUAAAAAUGUAUUCCCCCUUUUGUACAUAUUGUUUUCAAGUUGAUUUUCUUUUUCUUUCUUUCUUUUUUUCUUUUUCUUUUUUCUUUUUUUUUAUACUAACGAUACAAACGAAGCUCUUAAAGGAAUUGUAUUGUACAUUUUACGUGUAUACACUACAGUUCGUUGUGAAUAUCGUUGUGUGUACGAAGUAUUGGAAUAAAGUUCCAUAUCAAGAAAUAAUCGAUCUCUUUUCGCACCUGAUUCAAAUUUUAUUUAUCAUAUACAUAAUAAAAUAUAUCAACCAUUUAGAAGAUUAAUAAAGGUUCUAUUUCCAUACUUUCCACGUGGUCGAUAGAUUGCUUAAGUGAAAAUUUUUUCUCUUGCAUUUUUUUAAAAUCAUCAUCUAUUACCUUGGGAUCUACCUUUUGGCAUAAAUGAUCUACUAUUGUCGCAGCCUAUAAAGAAAGGACAAAGUGUCCUAUGCAUUAGAGCAAAUUGCAUAUAACAUGCUGCUGAACAAAAACAUAAUUCGUCACCAGGUUCUGCUUCUUCCUUACUCAAAAAUGGUAAAUCUGACACUUUUUUUCUUAUUAAGCUAUUUAAUAU